rnacentral:rRNA from 17 species
AAAAUGAGGGGAUGAGCUGUGGAUCGGAGUGAAAGGCUAAUCAAGUCCGGAGAUAGCUGGUUCUCCUCGAAAACUAUUUAGGUAGUGCCUCGUAUUUAACCACUGGGGGUAAAGCACUGUGUCGGCUAGGGGGUCAUCCCGACUUACCAAACCGAUGCAAACUCUGAAUACCAGUGAGUUCCAGUACGGGAGACAGACGGCGGGUGCUAAGGU